GCUCUCCACUCCCUGAUACUGGAGCAACAUAGAGGGGCAAGAAAGAAUUGGGCUCUUUAUGCCUAUUUCAAGAAGGAGCCGUAAACUCAAGCACCUCCAUCUCGGGCCCAGGCCAGGGCGUGUGCCUUUGAACUCCCUGCUGGGAGACACUAUGGAUACAAAGGCACAAAGACUGCAGUUUGAAAUUGUAUGAAAACACCACUGCCAUAUGAGUCCAGAGGGGAUUCAUGGAGCAAUAAGGAAGCUGUAAACUUGAUGGAAUCCUGGUCAGGAAUAGCAUGAAGGAUCUUGUAAAGCACAGCACCUUCCCUUAAGUACAUUGUAUACAACUAUCA